UACGGAGGGAGCUAGCGUUGUUCGGAAUUACUGGGCGUAAAGCGCACGUAGGCGGCUUUGUAAGUUAGAGGUGAAAGCCCGGGGCUCAACUCCGGAAUUGCCUUUAAGACUGCAUCGCUUGAAUCCAGGAGAGGUGAGUGGAAUUCCGAGUGUAGAGGUGAAAUUCGUAGAUAUUCGGAAGAACACCAGUGGCGAAGGCGGCUCACUGGACUGGUAUUGACGCUGAGGUGGCGAAAGCGUGGGGAGCAAACAGG
rnacentral:rRNA from 1 species